UAGGGAAUCUUCGGCAAUGGACGAAAGUCUGACCGAGCAACGCCGCGUGAGUGAAGAAGGUUUUCGGAUCGUAAAACUCUGUUGUUAGAGAAGAACAAGGACGUUAGUAACUGAACGUCCCCUGACGGUAUCUAACCAGAAAGCAACGGCUAACUACGUGCCAGCAGCCGCGGUAAUACGUAGGUGGCAAGCGUUGUCCGGAUUUAUUGGGCGUAAAGCGAGCGCAGGCGGUUUCUUAAGUCUGAUGUGAAAGCCCCCGGCUCAACCGGGGAGGGUCAUUGGAAACUGGGAGACUUGCUUGCAGAAGAGGAGAGUGGACUUCCAUGUGUAGCGGUGAAAUGCGUAGAUAUAUGGAGGAACACCAGUGGCGAAGGCGGCUCUCUGGUCUGUAACUGACGCUGAGGCUCGAAAGCGUGGGGAGCAAACAGG
rnacentral:rRNA from 1 species